rfam:Denitrobacterium detoxificans strain NPOH1, complete genome.
GAGCGCGACCAUGGAGAGGGGGAUCACCCGAUCCCAUUCCGAACUCGGCAGUUAAGCCCCUCCUCGCCGAAAGUACUGCGGUGUAGUCCGUGGGAGGAUAGGGCGUCGCGCUCA